rnacentral:rRNA from 1 species
ACGAACGCUGGCGGCGUGCCUCAUCCAUGCAAGUAGAACGCACAGUUUAUACCGUAGCUUGCUACACCAUAGACUGUGAGUUGCGAACGGGUGAGUAACGCGUAGGUAACCUGCCUGGUAGCGGGGGAUAACUAUUGGAAACGAUAGCUAAUACCGCAUAAUAUUGAUUAUUGCAUGAUAAUUGAUUGAAAGAUGCUAUUGCAUCACUACCAGAUGGACCUGCGUUGUAUUAGCUAGUAGGUGAGGUAACGGCUCACCUAGGCGACGAUACAUAGCCGACCUGAGAGGGUGAUCGGCCACACUGGGACUGAGACACGGCCCAGACUCCUACGGGAGGCAGCAGUAGGGAAUCUUCGGCAAUGGACGAAAGUCUGACCGAGCAACGCCGCGUGAGUGAAGAAGGUUUUCGGAUCGUAAAGCUCUGUUGUAAGAGAAGAACGGGUGUGAGAGUGGAAAGUUCACACUGUGACGGUAGCUUACCAGAAAGGGACGGCUAACUACGUG